rnacentral:tRNA from 1 species
UUCACACCUGAGUGGAUAAAGCGAUAGCGUUUGAAGCAAUCGGUACUGGGUUCGAGUUCCAGAGUAAA